ACAUUUGAUUCCUUUGGGGUUCAUUUUUAUACGAUUUCCACCAUUCAAGACUUCCAGGGCGUGGGCUUGUUGUUUUCGCAGCGUCUCGUGCAACCCGAAAAUUUGGUCUCGCACCUGUUGCUGCACUCCCUCUUCUUCUGGAAGGGAAGUUUUUUGCAGCCCAACUGACAGUUAUUGCGUGAUGUUGCACAUCCCACCUUACAGGCAACAGCCAGCGUGGUGGACACCAUCAUUCCCACCAAGAGAAGCGUCGUCAACAGUCUGGUCUGAAAGAAUUCAAAGACUAGUGAACAGUUUACAUUCACAACAGAUCUGAGAUUUGUAACAGCAUCAAGGAACAAUGAAUACCAGACUGUUGGCGACGCUUCUGUUGGUGGGACUGAUGGUGUCCACCACGCUGGCUGUCACCUGUAAGGUGGGAUGUCAGAAGUCACGUAACGUAUGUCAGUUGGGCUGCAGAAACCUUCCCUACCUGAAGAAAAGGCAGUGCAGCAAUAAGUGCGAGAUAACCUUAUCGAUUUGUGAGAGGAGCUGUAAAAACAACAGGCCCACGCCCUGGAAAUCUUAGAUAGUGGAAAACAUGUAAAAAACCAACAACAACAAAAUCCCAGGGAAUUAUAUGUGUUCGAAAUUUUUCUUAAUAACAAUAAAGAAUAUGCCGUUUCA